UCUCUCUGUGAUAAGAACAUUUCCACAGGACUGUACUGAGCUCCAGGAGGAUAAGAAACUCUGAAGGGGG
rnacentral:snoRNA from 1 species